AAGUUGGUCAUUAUACGUUGUUUAAAAAUAUCAAACUUAUGAAAAAUAUCAAAUCUCAUGAAAUUAGUUUGAUUGGAUAGAUAAAUAUGAGAUUCUAUAGCACUGAAUCAGAGGUGCCUUCCUUAUGCAUUGACAUUUGAAACCUGUCGUCUGAAAACCAUACAGGUAGCAGAUCAUUUGGAAUUUGUUGUUACAUCUACAUGACACAUGCUAGAUAUUAAAUUAUUAUCUGUUUGCAGUCCAAGCAAGGAUGCACGAAAAGUGAAGCUCGUGUUGAUUUUGUAUCUACCGGUUGCGGCCAACUUUUGUGUGCACUUCAACUCCAACAAGAAGAGUCCGAUGCAUGGGACCUAGAGUUUGCAUCGACCUCAACCUGCAAACUGUGUAGCAUGAAUAAAUACCUGAUGUUAGGAUAGAUUAGUACUUGGAUAUAACCAUGGUGAUUGAAUGGAUUGUGAUGUUGAUGAUUAAAA